rnacentral:rRNA from 1 species
AGUGAACGCUGGCGGCAGGCCUAACACAUGCAAGUCGAGCGGCAGCGCGGGGGCAACCCUGGCGGCGAGCGGCGGACGGGUGAGGAAUUCGUCGGAAGCUGCCUUUUUGUGGGGGAUAACGUAGGGAAACUUACGCUAAUACCGCAUACGUCCUACGGGAGAAAGUGGGGGACCGCAAGGCCUCACGCAGAAAGAUGAGCCGACGACCGAUUAGCUAGUUGGUGGGGUAAAGGCGCACCAAGGCGACGAUCGGUAGCUGGUCUGAGAGGAUGAUCAGCCACACUGGGACUGAGACACGGCCCAGACUCCUACGGGAGGCAGCAGUGGGGAAUAUUGGACAAUGGGCGCAAGCCUGACCCAGCCACGCCGCGUGUGUGAAGAAGGCCUUCGGGUUGUAAAGCACUUUUGUCAGGAAAGAAAUCCCUUGAGCUAAUACAUGCGGGGGAUGACGGUACCGGAAGAAUAAGCCCCGGCUAACUUCGUG